GUCUCAGUUCGGAUUGGAGUCUGCAACCCGACUCCAUGGAGCUGGAUUCGCUAGUAAUCGCGCAUCAGCCACGGCGCGGUGAAUACGUUCCCGGGCCCUUGUACACACCGCCCGUCAAGCCAUGGGAGCCGGGGGUACCUGAAGUGCGUGACCGCAAGGAGCGCCCUAAGGUAAAACCGGUGACUGGGGCUAAGUCGUAACAAGGUAUC
rnacentral:rRNA from 1 species